rnacentral:lncRNA from 1 species
GAACAAUCUCUCCUCUAGGAUGAGACGGACAUUUGCUCCCCCCACCCCAAAGUUUCAAGGCCUCCUUCUCAGUCAGUCGUGUGAGACCGAGGGAGUCACGGAGCACAUGAGAGAGGACGGUGUGUGUCCAGCCAUGCAUGAAUGUGCAGGUGGAGACUGUAUCAGCAACUGUGUGUCCAGAGGUCACACAUAUAGCCAGCCCUAUGCUUGGUGUCUUGAGAUUUUGUGUGUGUGUGUUAGUCAUCAUCCCUGUGUCAGAGACCCAUGUGUGUUAGGCAGCCUUGUAUACGUACGCUUGUUUGAGGCGGUAUGUAUGAGUUGAGAUUGUCAUAUGUGUGAACUAACCAUCUCGUAUGUGUGUUACAGCUUGCAUGAGUUAGCCCGUAUCUGCAAUUGUUUUCAAAAACAGUGUAUACAUCAGGAGUGGUAAGAACGUGUUAGAUAUUGUAAAAGUAUGUGUUUGAGAGAGCUGUCAGAUAUGCUGAGACUAUUGUAUGCACGUGUGUGGGCUCUGAAAAAGCAGUUGUGUGCUGGAUGUGUGCUUGGGGAAAAGGAAUAUAGGUAAGAUGACUGCUGUUGGACCCAAAACCACUAGUCACGGGUGCCCACAUCCAACAGGAGACCUUGUCCUUGGCCUGGAGUCCUCCUGCCCUUGGGGGGUUCCUGCCUGAAGUCCUAGAAGUCCACUGAGACAGACACAGGCAGUGCCCCAAGAAGCCAUGCUGGCCCCCACUAGGGCCUACCCCAAAAGCAGGGGCCAGGGAGGGGGCGACUUGCCUGCCCCGAAGCCCCUGCCCCAUUGGCCCCAGUUUGCAUUCUGCAGGUUUUCCAUUUUAGUGAAUUUAUGCUUUUAUUUCAGAGACAGACAUGUGUCUUGUCUGUCUGUUUCCAAUAGUUAAAGCCAUAUCAGUUAGACUGCAAUACUUUAAAGACAAGACGAAACAAUCCAUAUGUUUAGGGACCCUGAAAAGUCCCCUGGUC